UAUAUGUUAGGAAUGGAGGGUUUUUUUGCGGUUGUCGGUCGAGAAACGUACGCUUAAAAGAAGAUAAGCGUUAAAAAUUUUUCCAAGCAACAAGGUCGAUCUUUGCUAGGGGGCAAAGAUUAUCAUAACAAGCUGACAAGUUCCUGUCCCAUUCGACCCAAUUUUUGUGCUUCUACGAUGUUUAUAAGGCAGGUGAUAUGACGUCACGGCUGCGACGCUCCACUACCUAGAAUAACAACGUGUGUCUCCGCAAUGAAAAGUAAUUCUGUUAGUUUCCGACGCUCGUCCGAUCCGGUAGAGAGAGGUGGUCGAAAAUUCAUUACGUCAUCGGUGGGGUGCCGAGCGUUGGGUACUUCUCUAUUGUGUGUUGCUAUGGUUACCGGAGAAGGGAGACCGAACUGGCGGAAGAAUAUGUUUGUAUUUACAGUAUGUUGGAGCACGGCGGCUUAAUGUUGCCUUUCAAGGCCGAUUGGGAAGCUUGUCAACGCCAGUUUAAACGUGGUGCGAACUAUGGAAUGUGUUUCGUUUGAUAACGGUGUGACUCCUAUGUGACAGUUUGUCCUUUCGAUUUUUCCUACGUUCUGCCAUCUCGUUUAACGUCCGGAGCGACAGUGCUACAUUGAUCCAGUACAAGACCCAACUGUCACUAUGCCAAGAAGGAUAAAAAUACAGGUGGUGUCCGAACGAUUCCGUCGCC